rnacentral:rRNA from 1 species
CCUACGGGAGGCAGCAGUGAGGAAUAUUGGACAAUGGGCGCAAGCCUGAUCCAGCCAUGCCGCGUGCAGGAAGAAGCAUCUAUGGUGUGUAAACUGCUUUUGUACAGGAAGAAACACUCCCUCGUGAGGGAGCUUGACGGUACUGUAAGAAUAAGGACCGGCUAACUCCGUGCCAGCAGCCGCGGUAAUACGGAGGGUCCGAGCGUUAUCCGGAAUCAUUGGGUUUAAAGGGUCCGUAGGCGGUUUAAUAAGUCAGUGGUGAAAUCUGGUCGCUCAACGAUCAAACGGCCAUUGAUACUGUUAGACUUGAAUUAUAAGGAAGUAACUAGAAUAUGUAGUGUAGCGGUGAAAUGCUUAGAUAUUACAUGGAAUACCAAUUGCGAAGGCAGGUUACUACUUAUGGAUUGACGCUGAUGGACGAAAGCGUGGGGAGCGAACAGGAUUAGAUACCCUGGUAGUCCACGCCGUAAACGAUGGAUACUAGCUGUUCGGAGCGAACCUGAGUGGCUAAGCGAAAGUGAUAAGUAUCCCACCUGGGGAGUACGUUCGCAAGAAUGAAACUCAAAGGAAUUGACGG